AGGGUACACUGUGCCAGCUGGACAUAGCAGGGAGCAUGCUUGGACAUCAAUUUUUUGGGUCCUCUUUCCUGUAUGUGAAGAUACCAGAUGAUUUCUUUGUACAUGGAGGGAGGGGGCUAUUUUUGCUCCCUUGUAACCAAAACCGAGAAAGGCAGCAGAGGCUCCCAUCCACAUGCCAAAAGAGGGAGUGAAGAAUCUCUACCAGCAUGACAAAUUGUGUGAAAUGCAAUUACUGUGAUCACUUGACUCAUAAAAUUCUCUUGAGAAAGCCAUCCUGCUGGAGUGUUUCUGUAAAGGUCACAGUUCUUGAACCCCACCCCCUCACCACCAUUCAGUCCCACUCUGUGCUGCUUUCUUUCCUCCAGCCUUUCUCCUUGCUUGCAACACUUGGUUUUAUCUUUCCUCAUCCUCCGUCUGAUUGGCCAAGGUGAGUCAGCUACCACCUUGCCUUGCUUCCAGGUCCUCUCUGAGGGAGACCCCUCACCAUGGGAACUUUACGGGAGUUUGCUGUGGAGGAUUUUAAUGCUUAGAGGGAACUGAGGUAACACUGACUGAGAAGGCCAUUCCAGCUGGACAUUUGAGGUUGAACUGAUUCUACAAAUGGAGUCCGUGACCUCUCUACCCACAGCCUCCUCCAGCCUUAACACGAAGCACUGUACCUGCUGGGCACUCCCAGCAUGCAAGAUAAAGAGGCCCAAGCUCUUGGGCCUUGUAAGGGUCUAUGGACAGUGUCUUUAAUGGAUUUGGAAAAAAGUGACCUUCUGUAACGCCCGACAUGCCUCUCCGUCUAUCUGUACUCACCUCUCUGCCUGUGGACUGAUGGCUUUGGAGGAAGUGGGCUGGCGCUUCUCAAGUAACUAUUCUCAAGGAAGAAAUCUGGAGAACUCGUGCAGGCUGGAGCCCAGUGAUGCAUAGGCCUAUGGCCCAGAGGACUUCCUUCUCUGGCAUUUGACAUGGUAUGUCCUACAAGAAGAAUAUUAACCACUAAUAGAGUUCUUACCCUGGGCUGGCUCUGUUCUAAAUUUUUCAUGUACAUGAACUCAGUCCUUUUACCCCAACACCAAAGACCGAUUGAUGAAGGAGAGAAACUCCAACUCCAUAA